CAGAGCACGCCGUCGUACGCCCUCCGCGGCGGUCGUUGAGCGCCGCGACCAGUGAUUGUGCAGUGUGUCACACAGUGUGUGUCCAAGUGAUGGGUGCAUCGGCGUGAUUUGACAAGGAUACCUGAAACGACCUCGGCUUCGUCGCGUCGCGGACGCAACCCCCAUCGCCCCGGCAAAGAGACGGUGGAAUGGGCGCGCACUUGGGGAGGGGGUGGGGGAUGGGGUGGGGCAGGGUGGCCCUGGCCCUGCUCGUGCUGCUGCAGUUAGGGUUGGUGGACCCCGCCAACGCACAGAGGAGGACGCAGCACCGGAGAGAGGAGGCCGUGUCGGACUUCGGCCCCUCGGCGCUGUCCGAUGACUCCGCGGCCGCGGCGGUGGACCUGGAGAUGCGACGGUUCGUGCCGCGAGGGCCGU